GGGUGCGAUCAUACUAGGAAUAAUGCACCUGAUCCCAUCAAAACUCUGAAGUUAGGCUUGCUUGGGCAAGAGCAGUAUUAGGAUGGGUGACAUUCUGGGAAGUCCUCGUGUUGCACCCCUC
rnacentral:rRNA from 1 species